rnacentral:lncRNA from 1 species
GCCUAGAACAGAGCCCUGGGGGACACCAGUGGUGAGAGCGCAUGGUGCGGAGACAGAUUCUCGCCACGCCACCUGGUAGGAGCGACCUGUCAGGUAGGACGCAAUCCAAGCGUGGGCCGCGCCGGAGAUGCCCAACUCGGAGAGGGUGGAUAGGCCUUUAGGCAAUGACAAAAUGAAGAGUAGGACCCAAUUUACCAAUACAAAUAUCACCCCAAUCACUGGUAGUUGAUUUUAGUUGACUGACAGUGUUGCAUAUGAUCGAUCCAUUAUUAUACAAAUGCAUUCAGUCAUUAAUUGAUCAAUCAAGGCUGUAUAGGAAAAAAUAUAACUAUUUUUAUUUUAGAGACCCUUCAAAACGAAAAGCGUAAACAUGUAUAGUAUUACAAAGUGAACACCACAGCUGUUGUACAUUGAAGACAGGAGGAGAUAAAGAUUGAUGGGUGGUGCUGCCGCCUCCUCCCUGUAUGUUUCUAUGGGCUGCAUUCGGAAAGCGUAGUAGGUCUCUGCUUUUAAUAACUACACACUCCUGAGCUGUUUUCUUUAAGUCUUUUUCAAUAACAAUUUCUGUCUCUUCCCAAAUAUUCUCCUCAAAUAGUUCCCUGUGAUAAGGUCUGACACCCUUGCAAGAUCUACAAAAGAUAUCCCUCCAAGGUCCUCUUGGUAGGUUCUGGUAUCAGUGAUGGAUCUGCAGGGACUCUCUGUUCUGUGAUAGCACACGUACCAGUCCCCAUCCAUAAACACAGUCACAACCCACAGCAACCCUAUAGAGGCUGCUUUAAUGAAGAUUCCCAACAGUCUUCCCC